rnacentral:rRNA from 1 species
AGAGUUUGAUCCUAGCUCAGAACGAACGCUGGCGGCGUGGAUUAGGCAUGCAAGUCGAACGGAAGCUUGUGAGAUUAAGUCUUCGGACAAGAUUUUGCAGGCAAGAGUGGCGAAAGGGUGAGUAACACGUGGGUAAUCUGCCCUUAAGUUUGGGAUAGCUUCCUGAAAAGGAAGGUAAUACCGGAUGUGGAUAUCUGUCAUACGGCGGAAUAUCUAAAGGUGGGGAUCUGAAAGGACCUGCCGCUUAUGGAUGAGCCCGCGCCCCAUCAGCUAGUUGGUAGGGUAAUGGCCUACCAAGGCUUACGGGUAGCUGGUCUGAGAGGAUGGUCAGCCACACUGGGACUGAGACACUGCCCAGACUCCUACGGGAGGCUGCAGUCGAGAAUCAUUCGCAAUGCGCGAAAGCGUGACGAUGCGACGCCGCGUGCAGGAUGAAGGCUUUCGGGUUGUAAACUGCUGUUAUGGAAGAACAAUAUUCACAGUGCUAAUACCAUUGUGAAGUGAUAGUAUUCUAAGAGGAGGCCACGGCUAACUCUGUGCCAGCAGCCGCGGUAAUACAGAGGUGGCGAGCGUUGUUCGGAUUUACUGGGCAUAAAGGGUGCGUAGGCGGUUUCGUGUGUCGGGUGUGAAAGCCCGCCGUUCAUCGGCGGAAGUGCAUUCGAAACUACGAGGCUAGAGUACAGGAGAGGAGAGCGGAAUUCUUGGUGUAGCGGUGAAAUGCGUAGAUAUCAAGAGGAACACCGGUGGCGAAGGCGGCUCUCUGGAAUGAUACUGACGCUGAGGCACGAAGGCUGGGGGAGCAAACAGGAUUAGAUACCCUGGUAGUCCCAGCAGUAAACGGUGUGCACUUGAUGUGGGCAGGUUUGUCCCUGUCCGUGUCGGAGCUAAUGCGUUAAGUGCACCGCCUGAGUAGUACGGUCGCAAGGCUAAAACUCAAAGGAAUUGACGGGGGCCCGCACAAGCGGUGGAGCAUGUGGCUUAAUUCGAUGCAACGCGAAGAACCUUACCAGGGCUUGACAUAUAACUGCAAGUCUUCUGAAAGGGAGAUUCCUUCGAGGGUGUUAUACAGGUGCUGCAUGGCUGUCGUCAGCUCGUGCCGUGAGGUGUUGGGUUAAGUCCCGCAACGAGCGCAACCCUUGUGAUUAGUUGCUACUUCUAUAGAAAUAUAGGAGGCACUCUAAUCAGACUGCCUGUGAUAAGCAGGAGGAAGGUGGGGAUGACGUCAAGUCAGUAUGGUCCUUAUGUCCUGGGCUGCACACGUGCUACAAUGGAUGGUACAGAAGGAAGCAAGACCGCGAGGUGGAGCAAAUCCCUAAAACCAUCCCAAGUUCGGAUUGAAGUCUGCAACUCGACCUCAUGAAGUUGGAAUCGCUAGUAAAGGCGCAUCAGCUACGGCGCUUUGAAUACGUUCCCGGGCCUUGUACACACCGCCCGUCACAUCAUGAAAGCCGAUUGUACCCGAAGCCGCUGUUCUAACUCGCAAGAGGGGAAGGCGCCGAAGGUAUGGUUGGUGAUUGGGAUGAAGUCGUAACAAGGUA